GAUGAACGCUGGCGGCGUGCCUAAUACAUGCAAGUCGAGCGAACAGACGAGGAGCUUGCUCCUCUGACGUUAGCGGCGGACGGGUGAGUAACACGUGGAUAACCUACCUAUAAGACUGGGAUAACUUCGGAAAACCGGAGCUAAUACCGGAUAACAUAUUGAACCGCACGGUGCAAUAGUGAAAGACGGUUUUGCUGUCACUUAUAGAUGGAUCCGCGCCGCAUUAGCUAGUUGGUAAGGUAACGGCUUACCAAGGCAACGAUGCGUAGCCGACGGGAGAGACUGAUCGGCGACACUAGAACGGAGACACGGUCAAUAGUCCUGCGGGAGGCAGCAGUAGCGAAUCUGCCGCAAUGGGCGAAAGCCUUACGGAGCAACGCCGCGUGAGUGAUGAAGGCCUUCGGAUCGUAAAACUCUGUUAUGAGGGAAGAACCACUGUGUACGUAACUAUGCACGUCUUGACGGUACCUAAUCAGAAAGCCCCGGCUAACUACGUG
rnacentral:rRNA from 1 species